rnacentral:rRNA from 1 species
AAUGAACGUUGGCGGCGUGGAUUAGGCAUGCAAGUCGAGCGAGAAGGGGCUGCUCAUCACGUCCACCGGGCCCCCGGUUUGAAGAACCGGGGGCUAAUGUGGUGGCCGAGAUGAGUGGCCCCGGACAGCGGCGAAAGGGAGAGUAACGCGUAGUUAUGUACCCAGGGGUUCGGAAUAGCCACGGGAAACUGUGGGUAAUGCCGAAUAACAUCUCCGGAUCAAAGGUGUGAUUCCGCCCUUGGAGCAGACUGCGUCCUACUAGCUAGUUGGCGGGGUAAUGGCCCACCAAGGCAACAAUGGGUAGCGGGUGUGAGAGCAUGACCCGUCUCACUGGGACUGAGACACUGCCCAGACACCUACGGGUGGCUGCAGUCGAGAAUCUUCGGCAAUGGGCGAAAGCCUGACCGAGCGACGCCGCGUGCGGGAUGAAGGCCCUCGGGUUGUAAACCGCUGUCGUAGGGGAGGAAGGCUCCGUGAAGAACGGGGUUUGACCUAUCCUAGGAGGAAGUACGGGCUAAGUUCGUGCCAGCAGCCGCGGUA